GUGCAGAAGUGUGACGGUGUGCAGGAUUGCCCCAUGGCGGACGACGAGGACUGCGGCUGCACGGCGGGUGAGCAGUUUCUGUGUGAUGGCUUCCGUUGCUUGGCGGGUGAGCUUUGGUGCGACGGCGUACCUGACUGUCAGGACUGGGCAGACGAAGCCAACUGUGACGGUGAUGGAGGAGGUUGUGAUGGCG